GUCUCUGACUUUAUCCUCAUUUGUUUCAUGUUUGCAGAAAAACUAAUAAAAAAUCUUUAGCAAAAACAACCUAAAACCAGCCUUUAUUUACAAUGAGUUCAGGUAACUCCAGAUAACUCCACCCACCCUCCCUCCUUCUAGUGGUGUGACACUGUCAGAGCCUUGCUCAGUCACUAGGGGACACUGUUUUGGAAAGGUGCGGUUGGAAAUGGCUUUGUUUGUUUGUUUGUUUUCCAGCAGUCCUGUGGACCGUACGUGGCCUGCAGGGAUUUACAAGUUGUCCCCAGGCUGGUACUGAGGCUCGGUGGCUGUGAAGUAGUCCUC